rnacentral:rRNA from 1 species
GAUGAACGCUGGCGGCGUGCCUAAUACAUGCCAGUCGAGCGAACAGACGAGGAGCUUGCUCCUCUGACGUUAGCGGCGGACGGGUGAGUAACACGUGGAUAACCUACCUAUAAGACUGGGAUAACUUCGGGAAACCGGAGCUAAUACCGGAUAAUAUAUUGAACCGCAUGGUUCAAUAGUGAAAGACGGUUUUGCUGUCACUUAUAGAUGGAUCCGCGCCGCAUUAGCUAGUUGGUAAGGUAACGGCUUACCAAGGCAACGAUGCGUAGCCGACCUGAGAGGGUGAUCGGCCACACUGGAACUGAGACACGGUCCAGACUCCUGCGGGAGGCAGCAGUAGGGAAUCGUCCGCAAUGGGCGAGAGCCUGACGGAGCAACGCCGCGUGAGUGAUGAAGGUCUUCGGAUCGUAAAACUCUGUUAUUAGGAAAGAACAAAUGUGUAAGUAACUAUGCACGUCUUGACGGUACCUAAUCAGAAAGCCACGGCUAACUACGUG